CGUGAUCUCGGGUUUGUCGGGCUGAAAUGUGGCGGGUCUCGGAAGGUUCCGACCUCAGUAAAGAGAGCUAACGUGUAUUCUUCUUUUUCUUAGAUGCUGAGAUGAAUCGUCACCUGUGUGUUUGGCUUUUUAGACAUCCAUCUCUUAAUGGUUACCUCCAGUGUCACAUCCAGCUCCAUUCUCAUCAAUUUAGACAGAUACAUCUUGAUACAAGGCUGCAAGUUUUUAGACAAAACAGGAAUUGCAUUCUUCAUCUGUUAAGUAAGAAUUGGUCCAGGAGAUAUUGCCAUCAAGACACCAAGAUGCUCUGGAAGCAUAAAGCACUACAGAAAUAUAUGGAGAACCUGAGUAAGGAGUACCAAACACUUGAGCAAUGUCUGCAGCAUAUCCCUGUGAAUGAGGAAAACCGAAGGUCCUUGAACAGAAGGCAUGCUGAGUUGGCACCUCUUGCAGCCAUUUACCAAGAAAUUCAGGAGACUGAACAAGCAAUUGAAGAAUUAGAAUCAAUGUGUAAAAGAGACAGAGUCUUGCUCUGUGGCCCAGGCUGGAAUGCAGUAGUGUAAUCAUAGCUCACUUUAACCUUGAACUCCUGGACUCAAGCAAUCCUCCAACCUCAGCCUCCCAAGUAGCUGGGACUACAGGCCUAAAUAAACAAGAUGAAAAGCAGUUACAAGAACUUGCACUGGAAGAAAGGCAAACCAUUGAUCAAAAAAUCAACAUGUUGUACAAUGAGCUUUUCCAGAGCCUUGUGCCAAAGGAGAAAUAUGACAAAAAUGAUGUUAUUUUAGAGGUGACAGCUGGAAGGACUACUGGAGGUGACAUCUGCCAACAAUUUACCCGAGAAAUAUUUGACAUGUACCAGA
rnacentral:lncRNA from 1 species